UACAGAGGGGGCCAGCGUUAUUCGGAAUUAUUGGGCGUAAAGGGCGUGUAGGCGGUCAGGUAAGUGAGACGUGAAAUGCCCCGGCUUACCCGGGGACCUGCGUCUCAUACUGCUUGGCUUGAGUACGGGAGAGGGUGUGGGAAUUCCUGGUGUAGCGGUGAAAUGCGUAGAUAUCAGGAGGAACACCGGUGGCGAAGGCGCACACCUGGCCCGAUACUGACGCUGAGGCGCGAAAGCUAGGGGAGCAAACGGG
rnacentral:rRNA from 1 species